CAAUAGCGUAUAUUAAAGUUGUUGCAGUUAAAAAGCUCGUAGUUGGAUUUCUGUUCUUGGGAUCUGGUCCGCCUCACGGUGAGCACUGGAUAACUGGGGACAUCCUCUCGAAGGCGGCAGGUGCACUUGAUUGUGUGUUUGUUGAAUUCGGGACCUUUACUUUGAUAAAAUUAGAGUGUUCAAAGCAGGCGUCGGCUUGAAUACAUUAGCAUGGAAUAAUGGAAUAGGACUUUGGUUCUAUUUUGUUGGUUUCUAGGACCGAAGUAAUGAUUAAUAGGGACAGUCGGGGACAUCCGUAUUUCAUUGUCAGAGGUGAAAUUCUUGGAUUUAUGAAAGACGAACUUCUGCGAAAGCAUUUGUCAAGGAUGUUUUCAUUAA
rnacentral:rRNA from 1 species